UAUGAUUAAUUUUAAAUGGCUGCAGUAUUUUAACUGUACAAAGGUAGCAUAAUAAUUUGUUUUUUAAAUGAAAACUAGAAUGAAAGAGGUGAUGAAAUAUUAACUUUAUUUAAUUAAUAUUUUUAAUUUUAUUUUUAAGUUAAAAAGCUUAAAUUUUUUUAUGGGACGAGAAGACCCUGUAGAAUUUUAUAUAAAAUUAAUUAUUUAUAUAAUAAUUAAUUAAUAUUUUUUUGGGAGGAAAAUUAAAAUUUAAAGACUUUAAUUUAUUGAUUACAUAUAUUUAUGGAUUUAGUGAUUUUAUUUGUUUAAAUAUAAGUUUAAAUUACCUCAGGGAUAACAGCGUAAUAUUUUUUAAAAGUUCUUAUUGAAAAAAAUGUUU
rnacentral:rRNA from 1 species